rnacentral:lncRNA from 1 species
GUCUCCUAUGACCACUCCUUGUGUGCCUAGCGUAAAGACUUUCUGUAGAUUAUACCUUUUUAUAGAUCUCAUUAUAAGACAGCUAGCUUGUCGCAUGAUGUUAAUUCAUGAAGGAUCCAUGACUCAAGGAACCACUCUUAGAACCAAUUUCAAUUUUGGUGGUUGCGUAGUGUUAGUCUCCAAUGACCACUCCUUGUGUGCCUAACACGAAGACCCCAC